rnacentral:piRNA from 1 species
UCAAAUCCAACUUUUAUCUGCCUGAUCAC